AUGGCCCUGGCGGCGACCACAAAAAAGAAGAACAAAGCAAUGGCCCCGGCGGCGCAGGGGGAGUGGUUCAUCAUGUACGGCAUCCCCAAGGUGUCGGGUGAGAUGAGCAAGGAAUUCCCCAAUGCGGCCUUCACCUUCAACGAGGUUCCGCUCCUUUCCCACCUAACCGUCCCGGGUAACGUCGCUACCCCCGCCGGAAGCGUCGACUACCCGUACAUCGAAGCUACCGACGACUGCGGCCUCCUGCUGCUCUGCGGUUACACCUUUGUCGGGCUCACCUACUACAUCUGCGACCCGUAUUUCCGUAGGACGCUGGGCAUCCUCCCCCCCGACGGCGGUUUCAACAGCCGCCACUCCGUCGGCCUCAUCCGCAAUCGCCGCGGCAGUGGGAUCAUGGUGGCCAUGCUCAACACGGGGCUCUUCAGUACACAGGCCCGCAUCAUACUCUCCUGCACGAUUGACCUGUGCGAGUGGGUCAACAAGGAGGCCGACUGCGGCCGCAUCAGGGAGACAAAACCGUGCUGCUGGGAUGGCGUCCUCUCCCACGAGGGAUUCCUGUGGUGGUUCGACCUCUCUUCUUGUAUACUUGCCUGCAACCCCUUCCUGGAUAGACCGACGUUUUACCAAAUCAUGUUCCCGCAUGUCUCUGACCGGCUGCGCGCAGCGUGGUUCCCAGUUCAAGGUGACAAAUACCGCUGCUUAAAGAUCGUCCCCACGGUGGCGCUCGUCCACCCAAGGAAUGCCUACAAGGUUUACUUCUUCCUGGGCCAGCACAUCUUCUGUGUCAACCUGAAGAAAAAGAAACUGAUGCAGUGUCUGGAGUUGGACAAUCAGGAGCUGCCGUCACUCUCCUCCCUCGUGGUCCAUUCCUGGAAUUUGCCGGCAGGGACCACAAAAAUCCAUUCGUCUGGGCCUGAUGAGUCUCACGUCCCUGGGGUUCAUUUCCUGGUUCACUAUAACUCGGUGGAUGGUUUUCUUGAGAAAGCAGUAGCUGUCAUGAGCAGGUCGCGUCCUGAAUUGUUUGGCAUGGGUCUGGAUGAACUUGAAGAAGACGAAGAUCACUCUCUGACCAUGGAGGAAUCUGAUGACGGAGAUGACUCUGAGAUGGAGCAACUUGAAGAGGGCGGAAAUGACUGCGAGAUGACUGAGGAAUCUGAAGAGGACUGA
rnacentral:rRNA from 1 species